rnacentral:tRNA from 1 species
GCGCCCGUAGCUCAGCUGGAUAGAGCACCAGACUACGAAUCCAGGGGGUCUCAGGAGUUCGAAUCUCUUCGGGCGCGCCA